rnacentral:tRNA from 1 species
GCCGGAGUGGUGGAAUUGGCAGACAUGCAACGUUCAGGACGUUGUGAGCGUAAGCUCGUGAGAGUUCGAGUCUCUCCUCCGGCACCA